UGGAAUGAUGGUGACCUAAACCCUCACCAGAGUAACAAUUGGAGGGCAAGUCUGGUGCCAGCAGCCGCGGUAAUUCCAGCUCCAAUAGCGUAUAUUAAACUUGUUGCAGUUAAAAAGCUCGUAGUUGAAUUUUUGCGUGGUGUUAAUAUUGACUGAUGUCGAGAUUGCACUUCGCUUUUGGGAUUUUUCCCUUUUUACUUUGAGAAAAUUAGAGUGUUUCAAGCAGACUUUUGUCUUGAAUACUUCAGCAUGGAAUAAUAGAGUAGGACUUUGGUUCUAUUUUGUUGGUUUGUGAACCUUAGUAAUGGUUAAUAGGAACGGUUGGGGGCAUUCGUAUUUAACUGUCAGAGGUGAAAUUCUUAGAUUUGUUAAAGACGAACUACUGCGAAAGCAUUUGCCAAGGACGUUUUCAUUAAUCAAGAACGAAAGUUAGGGGAUCGAAGACGAUCAGAUACCGUCGUAGUCCUAACC
rnacentral:rRNA from 1 species